rnacentral:rRNA from 1 species
CGAACACGGAAGUUAAGCUCUCUAAGGCCGAUGGUACUUGGGCUUAUGCCCCGGGAGAGUAGGUAGUUGCCGGAA